UAAACUUAACAAAUAUGAAGCGUUUUAAUAACAUACAUGGACCCAAAUCUAACUUGACCCGACCGGGCCAUGGACACUCUUGCUUUCAAAUUACUAACAAUUUUAAGAAUUCCUUGAGAAAGAAAAACUAUUUGAGAAUUUCCCAAUCGUAGGCUGGAGGGUAGGGAAGCCUGGUGAUCAUCAUUUAUGGGAAAUGCUAUGUCCUAGUAUUGGAUAGCUUAUGUUUCAUUAUUUAAAGAAAGGAACUGUUCCAUUGCUAAACUUGAAGUCGCUAAAAGCAAGCACAAUAAAGUAGGAUGUUUGUGGAAGGAAUUUAGCAUCAUUGCAGCUGAAAUGGCAGGGGCUUUAGCAAUGCAAAGCAAAGCAGGGGAUAGAGUAGGGUUAGAGCUUUAUGGCUACCAGGCAACCCCCAACAACAAAUACUGUCGAGUGGAGACGUAUAAUUGGUGCACACAGUGUCUAUUGCCGGUGGACUCAUACAUCUUAUCACGCAUAGCACAAUGAAAUUGAGGGUAAUAUUAUAGAAACCUGCUUUCAAGAUUCAAGAACACAUAGCAACUUCCUCGCUACACAUAGAAGCAUUUCUCAAAGUUGUAAACAACUCCGGUGUUUGGCCCAUUGGUCAAGGAUGUUCACUCCAUACUCAGUGGGAUGGAAUUGCCGGAAUUACCUAGUAGUGGUAUGUAUUAUGUGUGACAGUAAUUUGCUUCUGCCAGUAUCAGAUUAAGCAACAAGAAAAAGGACCAUGCUUGUCUGGUCUGGAGACUGGAAAUGCCUUCAUCAAAGAACAAAGGCAAACCCUUUUACUACAUGUGGUAAAGCAUCAUCUAUGUAAUUCCUCUGCUACUGUUUAAGCACCAUCUCUUCACAUUGAUUGAUACAGCAUUUGUUAAAGAAAAACAAAUAUUGCAAAUUAGUAAAGCAAGAAGAGGUCUAUACGAGUAAUGGAAGCAAAAUGGGCAGAUUUGAUCCCAACACUCUUUGGCCUAGAAGUUACAUACACAUAUCGCAAAGCAGAAGUUUAAGCUUUCAUCAAUCUACAUGAUCUCCAUUCUCCAACACCAAAAUUUGUACUUAAAACCCAUUAUUGCUUUUGAAGAUUGUGACUGAAACCGGUUAAGAACGGCAUUAAAACUAUAACAAGUUUCCAUCUUUUAAUCAAAAUGAGCAACAAAACCAAGAAACCCAAAUAUUAAAAGAUAAAAAUAAACUAAAAUAAAGAGAGAAAGAGUGAACUUUUCCUCGUAGAGCUUCAAGGAUUUUACAUUGUUCUCAUCAAAACUGCACAAAAGUGUCGUAUCCAGAUCCAGCUGCUUAACCAGCUCAAGUUGUAACCGCGUUUCAGCCAAUUCCAGCUCACUUGUUUUCUUUCCUGUCCUAGCUUUGAUGCUCCUUUCACUAUCAUGAGUUGGUAAAGUUGAGAUUUUUACUAAUAGUUUAGCCUUCAAUAGAAAACAAACGACAUAGGGAGAAAAUU
rnacentral:lncRNA from 1 species